rnacentral:lncRNA from 1 species
GGGAAAGCCGACAGUGACAGGUGUUACCCAGCUCCCACGCAGCUGGAAAGGCUGGUCUCACUGUCAGCAUGCUCCCCCAACAGCAUCAAGUUUAUUUCCAGGCAGCAGGCGAGCAGGGCUGAGAACUUGUCCCAGGCUACAAGCCUCCCUGCUGACAACAGAAGCAGGGCUUUCAGGUUUUAUGCCUCUCUGCCUGCCACAGCUUCUGUGCUUGUAUCUGCACUCCCUGUUUGACCCCCUCCCCAGAUUCUGUCCAGGAAACUUCAUGUUCGGUAGAAAUUGUUAUAAAAUUCAACUGGAAGUUUUCCUCUCCCUCUGGUUUUUCCUCAAUUCCACUGGCAGCCCUCCCCAAGUUGCAAGAUAAAGACAGAAAAGGCUUCCCUGAGGACUGAGAGUGCCCACAGGGCUCUUGCUGCUGCUUUCUCUACCCCUAUAUUUUGUGCGGCUCUCAGCAUUUGUCUCAGCUCCAGUUCUUUAAGGUAGUAAUGAAUGACAACAAGAAGUUACUUCUCUAUGCUACACACGGUGUAGAAUCCAGAGCCUGACUGGCUGUGACGCGCCCAUGGUGACACCAAGGGGACUCUGCAUGGGCACAUCCCGGCCCUCCUCCCUGCAUGUUCUCCAAGCCAGGUCUUUGAAACCUCCAGUGAUGGGAAUGACAGAAUCUGGGAUGAUUUUCUUCUGUUUCUUAUCUAAAAAAACAACAAAAAGCUCAGCAUACACGGACUCACACAAACCUUUUGCUAGAGGCAGCUCUGUAGACUUAAGACGCUGUCAUUUUUCAGAAGAACCCAGCUUGCUUUGGAACUACAGUCAGCCCUGCAACCCACCCUCACCUUGGACCCUGCUGCUGCUGUCUGUAAAGGGUCUGGAUGAAGGAAGGGAGCCUCCAGCUUGUCGGCUGUACUUGCCCAGAAUUUAGCCUUUGCAACAUGGAGCUGCGGGGAUGGGAAAUGUUGUCCACUAGCCUUCCACAAUGCUGCGAUGAAUACACCUGUGCAUUCUUUUUUAGAACAAGUGUAAGAAUUCCUAUGUGGCUGGACGGUACUGCUGCCAUCUCGGCUCACUGCAACCUCC